rnacentral:rRNA from 1 species
UCAUUCUAGAAACACUUUCCAGUACCUCUACUUUGUUACGACUUAUUUCAAUUUUUAAAUGAAAGCGACGGGCAAUAUGUACAUAUUUUAAUUUUUAAUCAUUUUAUUAUAUUAAAUAAAAUUACAUUUAAAUCCACUUUCAUACUCUUUUUACAAAAAAAAAAUCCAUUUAAAUAAAUUUAUUGUAAUCCAUCAUAUGCUUAAUUAUAUUCUACAUCUUGAUCUGAUUUAAUUUCUAUUUUUAAUUUUUAAAUAUUAUUUUUAUUUAAAAAUAUUUUUUUAACAACGAUAUAUAAAAUUUUAAAUUAAGUAAAUUUAAUCGUGGAUUAUCAAUUAUUAGACAGAUUCCUCUAAAUGAACUAAAAUACCGCCAAAUUAUUUAAGUUUCAAUAAAUUAUUAUUUACUAUUUUAGUAUUAUAAAUUAAAUUUUA